rnacentral:rRNA from 1 species
AGAGUUUGAUCCUGGCUCAGGAUGAACGCUAGCNACAGGCUUAACACAUGCAAGUCGAGGGGCAGCAUGAAGUUUGCUUGCAAACUUUGAUGGCGACCGGCGCACGGGUGAGUAACGCGUAUCCAACCUUCCCUAUACUAGAGGAUAGCCCGGCGAAAGUCGGAUUAAUACUCUAUGUUCUUCGUAGAAGACAUCUGAAAUGAAGCAAAGGUUUACCGGUAUAGGAUGGGGAUGCGUCUGAUUAGGUUGUUGGCGGGGUAACGGCCCACCAAGCCUACGAUCAGUAGGGGUUCUGAGAGGAAGGUCCCCCACAUUGGAACUGAGACACGGUCCAAACUCCUACGGGAGGCAGCAGUGAGGAAUAUUGGUCAAUGGGCGAGAGCCUGAACCAGCCAAGUAGCGUGCAGGAUGACGGCCCUAUGGGUUGUAAACUGCUUUUAUGCGGGGAUAAAGUGUGGGACGUGUCCCAUAUUGUAGGUACCGCAUGAAUAAGGACCGGCUAAUUCCGUGCCAGCAGCCGCGGUAAUACGGAAGGUCCGGGCGUUAUCCGGAUUUAUUGGGUUUAAAGGGAGCGCAGGCGGGUUAUUAAGCGUGUUGUGAAAUGCGGCGGCUCAACCGUCGAAUUGCAGCGCGAACUGGUUACCUUGAGUGAGUACGACGUCAGCGGAAUUCGUCGUGUAGCGGUGAAAUGCUUAGAUAUGACGAAGAACUCCGAUUGGGAAGCCAGCCUGCUGUAGCGCCACUGACGCUGAUGCUCGAAAGCGUGGGUAUCGAACAGGAUUAGAUACACUAGGUAGUCCACGCGGUAAACGAUGGAUGCUCGCUGUGUGCCUAUGAGGUACGUGGCCAAGGGAAACCAUUAAGCAUCCCACCUGGGGAGUANGCCGGCAACANNUNAAACUCAAAGGAAUUGACGGGGGCCCGCACANGCGGAGGAACAUGUGGUUUAAUUCGAUGAUACGCGAGGAACCUUACCCGGGCUUGAACUGCAGCAGACGGAUUCAGAGAUGAUGACUCUCUCGGGGCUGCUGUGGAGGUGCUGCAUGGUUGUCGUCAGCUCGUGCC